AACCUCCGCAAUGUGAGAAAUCGCGACGGGGGGAUCCCAAGUGCCAUUCUUAACGGGAUGGCUUUUCAUUAGUGUAAAGAGCUUUUGGAAUAAGGGCUGGGCAAGACCGGUGCCAGCCGCCGCGGUAACACCGGCAGCUCUAGUGGUAGCAGUUUUUAUUGGGCCUAAAGCGUCCGUAGCCGGUUUAAUAAGUCUCUGGUGAAAUCCUGUAGCUUAACUGUGGGAAUUGCUGGAGAUACUAUUAGACUUGAGACCGGGAGAGGUUAGAGGUACUCCCAGGGUAGAGGUGAAAUUCUGUAAUCCUGGGAGGACCGCCUGUUGCGAAGGCGUCUAACUGGAACGGUUCUGACGGUGAGGGACGAAAGUUAGGGGCGCGAACCGGAUUAGAUACCCGGGUAGUCCUAACUGUAAACGAUGCGGACUUGGUGUUGGGGUGGCUUUGAGCUGUUCCAGUGCCGAAGGGAAGCUGUUAAGUCCGCCGCCUGGGAAGUACGGUCGCAAGACUAAAACUUAAAAGGAUU
rnacentral:rRNA from 1 species